AGAGUUUGAUCAUGGCUCAGAGCGAACGCUGGCGGCAGGCCUAACACAUGCAAGUCGAACGGACCCUUCGGGGUUAGUGGCGGACGGGUGAGUAACACGUGGGAACGUGCCUUUAGGUUCGGAAUAGCUCCUGGAAACGGGUGGUAAUGCCGAAUGUGCCCUUCGGGGGAAAGAUUUAUCGCCUUUAGAGCGGCCCGCGUCUGAUUAGCUAGUUGGUGGGGUAAUGGCCCACCAAGGCUACGAUCAGUAGCUGGUCUGAGAGGAUGACCAGCCACAUUGGGACUGAGACACGGCCCAAACUCCUACGGGAGGCAGCAGUGGGGAAUCUUGCGCAAUGGGCGAAAGCCUGACGCAGCCAUGCCGCGUGUAUGAUGAAGGUCUUAGGAUUGUAAAAUACUUUCACCGGUGAAGAUAAUGACUGUAGCCGGAGAAGAAGCCCCGGCUAACUUCGUGCCAGCAGCCGCGGUAAUACGAAGGGGGCUAGCGUUGCUCGGAAUUACUGGGCGUAAAGGGAGCGUAGGCGGACAUUUAAGUCAGAGGUGAAAUCCCGGAGCUUAACUUCGGAACUGCCUUUGAUACUGGGUGUCUUGAGUGUGAGAGAGGUAUGUGGAACUCCGAGUGUAGAGGUGAAAUUCGUAGAUAUUCGGAAGAACACCAGUGGCGAAGGCGACAUACUGGCUCAUUACUGACGCUGAGGCUCGAAAGCGUGGGGAGCAAACAGGAUUAGAUACCCUGGUAGUCCACGCCGUAAACGAUGAUUGCCAGCCGUUGGAAAGUUUACUUUUCANUGGCGCANCUAACGCUUUAAGCAUUCCGCCUGGGGGGUACGGUCGCAAGA
rnacentral:rRNA from 1 species